rnacentral:rRNA from 1 species
GACGAACGCUGGCGGCGUGCCUAAUACAUGCAAGUAGGACGCAGUUGCGAACGGGUGAGUAACGCGUAGGUAAAUGCCUAUUAGAGGGGGAUAACUAGUGGAAACGAUAGCUAAUACCGCAUACUAGGAGAUGGACCUGCGUUGGAUUAGCUAGUAGGUAGGGUAAUGGCCUACCUAGGCAACGAUACACAGCCGACCUGGGAGGGAGAUCAGCCACACUGGGACUGAGGCACGGCCCAGAAUCCUACGGGAGGCAGCAGUAGGGAAACUUCGGAAAUGGGGGGCACCCUGACCGCACAACUCCGCGUGAGUGAAGAAGGUCUUCGGAUCGUAAAGCUCUGUUGUUCAGGAAGCGGUACUUAACCAGAAAGGAACGGCUAACUACGUGCCAGCAGCCGCGGUAAUAC